rnacentral:rRNA from 1 species
GGGAACUGAAACAUCUAAGUACCCGGAGGAAGAGAAAACAAUAGUGAUUCCCUAAGUAGUGGCGAGCGAACGGGGAGGAGCCCAAACCGCGGUCUACGGGCUGCGGGGUUGUAGGACCUGCGUAAGUGUAUAUAUCAGAAAUCGAAGCCGCCUGGAAAGCGGCCCCACAGAAGGUGAUAGGCCUGUAGGUGUAACGAUAUAUAGAUGGCGGGUAUCCUGAGUAGCGCGAGGCCGGUGAAACCUUGCGUGAAUCUGCCGGCACCAUCCGGUAAGGCUAAAUACAUCUGCAUGACCGAUAGUGAACCAGUACCGU